rnacentral:rRNA from 1 species
UACGUAGGGUGCGAGCGUUGUCCGGAAUCAUUGGGCGUAAAGAGCGCGUAGGCGGCCCGAUAAGUCCGCUGUGAAAGUCAAGGGCUUAACCCUUGAAUGCCGGUGGAAACUGUCGGGCUAGAGUCCGGAAGAGGCGAGUGGAAUUCCGCGUGUAGCAGUGAAAUGCGUAGAGAUGCGGAGGACACCGAUGGCGAAGGCAGCCCCCUGGGCUGACACUGACGCUCAGGCACGAAGACGUGGGGAGCGGAAACAGGA